AUUGAACGCUGGCGGCAGGCUUAACACAUGCAAGUCGAGCGGGGGAAGGUAGCUUGCUACCGGACCUAGCGGCGGACGGGUGAGUAAUGCUUAGGAAUCUGCCUAUUAGUGGGGGACAACAUCUCGAAAGGGAUGCUAAUACCGCAUACGUCCUAUGGGAGAAAGCAGGGGAUCUUCGGACCUUGCGCUAAUAGAUGAGCCUAAGUCGGCUUAGCUAGUUGGUGGGGUAAAGGCCUACCAAGGCGACGAUCUGUAGCGGGUCUGAGAGGAUGAGACGCCACACUGGGACUGAGACACGGCCCAGACUCCUACGGGAGGGAGCAGUGGGGAAUAUUGGACAAUGGGGGGAACCCUGAUCCAGCCAUGCCGCGUGUGUGAAGAAGGCCUUAUGGUUGUAAAGCACUUUAAGCGAGGAGGAGGCUACUUUAGUUAAUACCUAGAGAUAGUGGACGUUACUCGCAGAAUAAGCACCGGCUAACUCUGUGCCAGCAGCCGCGGUAA
rnacentral:rRNA from 1 species